CCUCCUUAAACGAAAAUCCUUACAGUUAGUAAGUGUCUACACGCAUUGCUUGAUUAUAAAUGGUAACAGUAAAGUACGGUAUGCCGGCCGGGCUGCUAUGACCCGUCGCACCAGAAUUGGGUCUGUAGCUCAGUUGGUUAGAGCGCACCCCUGAUAAGGGUGAGGUCGGUAGUUCAAGUCUACCCAGGCCCACCAUAUCUUAAUCUUUUGAAUCAUUGAUUCGGAAAGAGUCUGUUCAUUAACAUUGUAAAGAGAAAUAUUUUGAUCAUAUCAUAUACAUGCUUAUUAUUUGUAUUAUGAGUGGUGCCUGCACGGGCACAGUUAGUUCUUUAACUUUCAAAAUAUAAGUAGAAUAGAUUAUAAAUUUUAUAAUCAAAAUGGUCUUUUUGUGAUGUUUAUUAAAUCCUUACAACCGAUUUAAUAGAUGUCAAAAAAGUGAAUAACCGUUGUAAUAUGUAUUAAUUCAUUACGUAUUAUGACAAAAUCGUAUUUU
rnacentral:misc_RNA from 1 species